AGCGCGACCGGAUCCACGCCGCGGGUCACCACCAGAGAGUCGCGCAGCACGGUGCCGUGGCGCAUCUC
rnacentral:sRNA from 1 species